rnacentral:rRNA from 1 species
UACGAAGGGGGCUAGCGUUGUUCGGAAUCACUGGGCGUAAAGCGCACGUAGGCGGAUUGUUAAGUCAGGGGUGAAAUGCCAAGGCUCAACCUUGGAACUGCCUUUGAUACUGGCAAUCUCGAGUCCGGGAGAGGUGAGUGGAACUGCGAGUGUAGAGGUGAAAUUCGUAGAUAUUCGCAAGAACACCAGUGGCGAAGGCGGCCGCCUGGCCUGUAACUGACGCUGAGACGCGAAAGCGUGGGGAGCGAACCGGG